UACGUAGGGUGCAAGCGUUAAUCGGAAUUACUGGGCGUAAAGCGUGCGCAGGCGGUUUUGUAAGUCUGUCGUGAAAGCCCCGGGCUCAACCUGGGAAUGGCGAUGGAGACUGCAAGGCUAGAGUGUGUCAGAGGGGGGGUAGAAUUCCACGUGUAGCAGUGAAAUGCGUAGAGAUGUGGAGGAACACCGAUGGCGAAGGCAGCCCCCCUGGGUUAACACUGACGCUCAGGCACGAAAGCGUGGG
rnacentral:rRNA from 1 species